GGAUGCGAUCAUACCAGCACUAAUGCACCGGAUCCCAUCAGAACUCCGCAGUUAAGCGUGCUUGGGCGAGAGUAGUACUAGGAUGGGUGACCUCCUGGGAAGUCCUCGUGUUGCAUCCCU
rnacentral:rRNA from 1 species